GCGAUGAGCUAAUUUGCGUAAGUCGAGAAGCCCGCCUUUAGGGGUGGAACGUCUGGAUGUGGCCGGACGUCUUUUCGCCGCAAAAUACGUCAGAAAAAGCUGUCAUGGAGGGAACUUU
rnacentral:sRNA from 1 species